GACGAACGCUGGCGGCGUGCUUAACACAUGCAAGUCGAGCGGUAAGGCCUUUCGGGGUACACGAGCGGCGAACGGGUGAGUAACACGUGGGUGAUCUGCCCUGCACUUCGGGAUAAGCCUGGGAAACUGGGUCUAAUACCGGAUAUGACCUCCUAUCGCAUGGUGGGUGGCGGAAAGAUUUAUCGGUGCAGGAUGGGCCCGCGGCCUAUCAGCUUGUUGGUGGGGUAAUGGCCUACCAAGGCGACGACGGGUAGCCGACCUGAGAGGGUGACCGGCCACACUGGGACUGAGACACGGCCCAGACUCCUACGGGAGGCAGCAGUGGGGAAUAUUGCACAAUGGGCGAAAGCCUGAUGCAGCGACGCCGCGUGAGGGAUGACGGCCUUCGGGUUGUAAACCUCUUUCAGCAGGGACGAAGCGCAAGUGACGGUACCUGCAGAAGAAGCACCGGCUAACUACGUG
rnacentral:rRNA from 1 species